rnacentral:lncRNA from 1 species
UGUGAAUGUGGUCUCUCUCAGAAUAUUUUACUGUACUCACCUUCUUGUGAUCAUUUGAGAUGACAAAAUGUCUAUGUGAUGAGAUGAAGUGAGGAAAUCAUGUAGACAUUGUGAGGUAGCACUUGGUUCCUGUUGGUCUUCUGAUGCUAUUUGCAUCAGAAAGCAGAUGAUCUGCUUCAGGACUAUGGCUGACCUGGGUAACUGGAUCUGCAGAAAGCAAAACUAUGGAUGCAAGCAGGGCUGGACUGUCUUCAUACGCUUCAACCAGAACAUCAUACAGCAGAAGACUGAAUGCAGAUAAUGAGAAUCCAGCGAUCUUCAAUUAAACCAGGCACUAAGGAAGAGAUGGGAAGCAAUGCCACUUGUAUCACUACAGUUUUUGUUUAGGAAUAGUUCUCAUAACAAUACUUACACGUCAAUACGUAGUGGGUUCAUUAUUUUUAAAUGAA